CUGGGUGUAGUCCCAUCCCUGGCCCGCAGUCCGCACAAUCGAUAUCAACAAGCUACCACUUCCGUAGCAAGACAGACCUACACAACACUAUCCAAAACGAACCACAAAAUCGAUAUCAUCAAACAGCCGGAACUAUUAACAAAUUAACACCACUAACAGCUGUGACAACAAGUAAAUAUCGGGUCCCGGUUCCCGACCCAGUGGACCCGCCCUACCUGAGACAAUCACCUGAUCUCGUCUUCCUCAUUUUGGCCACUAGAUGGCCCGCAUCAGCCCGUGUCGGCAGUCAUGCCCACUCUCCCCAUCAUCAGAUAAUUAGCCGGACCUUUCGCUCUUCAGUGUUUGAAUAUAAUUGCCGAAUAACAACAAAUAAUUGACGGCACCGCAAGCUAAUGCCAAUUACCGCAGGGAACAACGUUGGAGAAUGAAUUUAUAUAUAUUAAUUUGAUCGAUUGGCUCCCCACACUUUCAUGCAUGUAUAUAAGCAUGUAUUACCACGCUGAAAAAAUUUUAAGUUGGCAAAAAUCGUAUAUAUAAGAAUUUAUAUGAAUUAAGUCGCUUAAAUACUCUUAACCUACCUAAAGAGCUCUCUAGGGCGCUAAGGGCGAUAGAAAUA